rnacentral:rRNA from 1 species
GAUGAACGCUGGCGGCGUGCCUAACACAUGCAAGUCGAACGCGAAAGUCCCGCAAGGGAUUAGUAGAGUGGCAAACGGGUGAGUAACACGUGGGUGACCUGCCUUCGAGUGGGGGAUAACGUCCCGAAAGGGACGCUAAUACCGCAUGACAUCCUGCCUUUUAACAGGCGGAGAUCAAAGCUGGGGAUCGCAAGACCUAGCGCUUGAAGAGGGGCCCGCGCCUGAUUAGCAGUUGGUGAGGUAACGGCUCACCAAGGCGACGAUCAGUAUCCGGCCUGAGAGGGCGGACGGACACACUGGGACUGAGACACGGCCCAGACUCCUACGGGAGGCAGCAGUGGGGAAUUGUUCGCAAUGGGCGCAAGCCUGACGACGCAACGCCGCGUGGAGGAUGAAGACCUU